AUGAGCUGCGCUGCAGAUAACAAGAUGUGGCGAGGAGAAGCGGCUGGUCCAGGACACAGAACGGGAAUUAACAAAUAAGAUGAUCACCCCAAAACCUGGAAAGACUUAAAUGAAGUGAUGCAAAGUGAAGUGAGCAGAACCAGGAGAAGGUUAUACACAGGAACAGCAAUUAUGUAUGAUCAACUGUGAAUGACUAUUAUCAACAAGAUUUUAAAGCCUCCAUUUCCUGGAAGGAUUAAGUAUGGAUAUGUUUCCUCAAGGGGUAAAGAACCAAAAGAGAAACUAUAAUAACAGCAACAUGCUUGAUGGGGUUCAAUGUAAGCCCUGAAACAUUUUAUCAAUUCAAUCUCAAAAGACUUAUUAGUGAUAGGAAAAAAUUUUCAUGCUAACUCAUGGACCUAACUAACCAAGAUUUACCUUAAAAAAAUUAAAAUCAAACUAACUUCAAAGUUCAUGAACUACACAAACAUUAUCUAUUAGUCACUUAUAGCCCUGUUGUCUCAACAAGUAGAGAUUAAAUUCCUUAAGAUUUUGCUAAAUAAGCCUUCUGAAUUAUACCAUUCAUAUUAAAAUUACCCAAAAUUAUUUUUAGAAACUCACUGAUAUACUGUUUCUGUAUUCCCAUAGCUAUAGGGCUCUACACUAAGUCCUGAUCAUGUUUCCAAUUUAUAACAGUAGCACCUUGAUAGAAUCUUUUCCCUGUGGCAUAUAUGUAUAAAAAUGUUAUUCACUUUUGUAGACGGACAAUUUGUAUUAAAUUGUCCAAAGAUAACAAUGGUUAAAAAUUCAGUUAUAAGUGUGUUUUAUACUUAAUGUAAUCCCUACAUGGCCUCAGUAUAAUCAAGUCUCUGUAAACAAUUGUAUAGUUCUUUUAGGGAAUUUUUUUUUCCAGGAUAGUAAUAAAAUAUUUUAGAAAUUCUUAAGAAGGACA
rnacentral:lncRNA from 1 species